AACAAACGCUGGCGGCGUGCCUAACACAUGCAAGUCGUACGAGAAAGGGUCCUUCGGGGCCUGAGUAAAGUGGCGCACGGGUGAGUAACGCGUGGAUAAUCUGCCCUUCAGUUGGGAAAAACGCAUCGAAAGGUGGGCAAAUACCGAAUAAUGCUCUGAGACCUCGGUUGAGCGGUGAAAGAGAGCCCCUGUUGGCAAGGCCUCGCUGAGGGACGAGUCCGGGUACCAUUAGCUGGUUGGUAGGGUAAUGGCCUGCCAAGGCGACGAUGGUUAGCUGGUCUGAGAGGAUGAUCAGCCACACUGGAACGGAGACACGGUCCAGACUCCUACGGGAGGCAGCAGUGAGGAAUCUUGCGCAAUGGGGGCAACCCAGACGCAGCAACGCCGCGUGAGUGAGGAAGGUCUUCGGAUCGUAAAGCUCUGUCGGAUGGAAAGAACCGCAUAGGGGUAAACAGCCCCUGUGUCUGACGGUACCAUCAAAGGAAGCACCGGCUAACUCCGUGCCAGCCGCCGCGGUAACAC
rnacentral:rRNA from 1 species